rnacentral:rRNA from 1 species
CCCUUAGACGUUCUGGGCCGCACGCGCGCUACACUGACCAGUGCAACAAGCAUCCGUCCUUGGCCGACAGGCCCGGGCAAUCUUUGAACGCUGGUCGUGAUGGGGAUAGACUUUUGCAAUUUUUGGUCUUCAACGAGGAAUUUCUAGUAAACGCAAGUCAUCAACUUGCAUUGAUUACGUCCCUGCCCUUUGUACACACCGCCCGUCGCACCUACCGAUUGAAUGGUCCGGUGAAGCCUCCGGAUUGGCGCGCACCUCGGUGCCGCCGAGAAGUUGGCUAAACCUUACCAUUUAGAGGAAGGUGAAGUCGUAACA